rnacentral:RNase_MRP_RNA from 2 species
CUGCCGCUGGAAGAAUCGCUGUCGCAGCUCACGUACUGAGAGCCUCGAGCUCUCUCAUUCUGCUGUGGGGAAAGUCCCCGGAGGUGCAGAGAAUAUCCUCGUUCUGCAAUGGAAAGCUGCCGAUUCCAAGCGCAUCGGUCCAGGGACGUUGGGAUGGCGAAGGUCGAUUUGGAUGCGUUCUAAGUUCGCGUUAGCGGUCUCGUUUGCAUCCUCCGCUUCGUCCACUCUGCUGCUCAGCUGAAGCCUUGUCGCGUCGGUGAAGGCGGGAAUGCGCAAAGAUAUGAGCGCGUUUCUUGCUCGGCAUGACGGGGUAACGGCUGGGCAUCUUGUUGCUCAUAGUCAUAGUUAUGCGAUUGUAGACUUGCGCAAGCGGUCGUUAACUCAAUGGGGCUCACUCUCCAACGGCA